GUAAAAUUUUUAGUUGAAUUAAAAUUCAUCCAAAAAAUCAAGUCCAGUAUGUUUAGCUUUCUUUUGACAGCCAUCUUGGCAUGAAAUUUACCUUAGACUGGGGACAUUGUGAUCAUCAAUCUUGAUUCGCUGGACCCUGUCAUGGAAGUACUUAGUAUUAUAAGCUCUUUCACCUAAAAUAAAUAAUACAUAGGUCAGAUAGCGAUGCCUAAUAAACACAGUAAUUGAUCAAGUUAUGAAGAAGUUCUACUUUUUAUUAUAAAUGCCUUAUCCACCUUAACUUUUUAAAGGUUUUAUUUAUUUGUCAGAGAGCACAAGCAGGGGGAGUAGCAGAGGGAGAGAGAGAAACAGGCUCCUCAUUGAGCAGGGAGCCAGAUUUGGGACUCGAUCCCAGGACUCUAGGAUCAUGACCUGAGCAAAAGGCAGAUGCUUAACCAACUGAGCCACCCAGGCGUCCCCCUUAUCCAGCAUUAAAAGGAGCUUUCUUACUGGCUCUUGUUGCUUUUAAGAAUAUUAAGGGUCUGAAAAACAGAUAGCAGUGGUUUGUCCAUCUUGAGUAACCCAACUUACUUGAAUUUAACAGGCCUUACUUUUAAUUAUAUAGUAGCUUACUCAUCAUAUUACCAUAUAUUACCACAGAGCAGAAGUAAAUGUGGCCAACCAGAAUGCUUGCCUCCUGAAAAUGUCUGUUUAAUAUACAGGAAGAGGAAAAGACAAGACAAUACUAAGUGGGGAUAUAAUCUCUUUUCUACAGGUUUUGUUUUUAAGCAUAUUUUCCCUUGUUUAUUGACUAUUUUGAUUUUUUUCAUUUGGGUUUUGCUCUCCUCACACCCCACUUCUAGUGAAUUAGGAAAUGUAUUUUUUGAAUUGUCUGUCUUCAAAACACAAGCCAGCAGGGAAAACAGAAGUAUUUCCCUAAACCUAACACCACUAGAGCAGAUUCUACCCAAAAUGGCUCUGACUCAACUUAAGCUUCCUGUCUCCCCAACAGGGCAUUUAUACUAUUGAGAUAUUUUUUCCCCUACAAAACAGAACCAACGCAAGAUGGAGAUUUUUAAACUCACUUCCCAUCACCCACCAAAUACUUAUGAUUAAAUGAGAUGUGAAGACUGAAUCAUAUGUAGUGAUCUGUUUCAUAUCAAUAGCAAAAUAUCUGGCCAUGUAUAUACUGCAUAGAUUGUAGACUUGAUAGUGUUCUCAAUGUUUGGUAUCUAAGAACCGCACAACUUCCUAGAAAAAAUAGACACAUGUCUUACAUAAAUCCAUAUGGCACCAAUAUAAGCUAUUCCUUAGGAGUAAGCCAGAAUGGUCAUUACCUUUUAUUCACUUGUCCUUUACUUAGCACCUUUUAGGGGAGAUUCAGGGAAUAGAGUACCUACAUUCCAAGUCCUAGCUUAUCCACUGACAGUUUUCAAAUAGUCCACAAUGUUGUGUGUGACUACCUGAAUAACGUCUACUAUAAAUACACAUUGCUUAAAGCUACCACAGUUAGCUAGCCUUACAUAAACAUGUGAAAAUUAUGAUUUCAUAGUUAUAUAUGAUUCUUAUCUAGAUCUAUUUUUGAAUAGAUAGGUUAUUUAUAUUUUUUAAUUUUUUAAAAAGAUUGAUUUAUUUUAGAAAAAAGAGAGAGAGACCAUGAGUAAGAGGAAGUGGGGGGAUUGGAGAGAGAAUCUUUAGCAGACUCCCCACUUAGCAUGGAGCCUGAUGUGGGCCUCCAUCUCACAACCUUGAGAUCAUGACCUGAGCCAGAACCAAGAAUCGCAGGCUCAACCAACUGAGCUACCCAGCUGCCCAAAGAGAUAGUUUUUUUAGAUCAUGAUCUGGAUAUUACAGUCAACCUAUGUGCUAUUUAAGUGAAUAAAUAAUGCAAAAUGUGUGGUAUGAUUGUGUGUCUAUAUAUGCAUGAUAAAAACAAACACAUAUUAAAUUUUAAUUAAGUGGUGGCAAUAUGGAGACUUUUUUGGAUCACCUUUGCAUAUUUUCUAAAAUGAAUACAUAUGCAUGUAAGUGUAUAUACACACACACAAAUAUGCAUAUAUGCAUAACUUUUCAAUAAGAAAUAGUGAUCUAAUGUACAGUUACUAUCACAUACAAAUACAGUAUUUCUAACAAUGUUAUCCAUUUGAAACACACACUGAACCUGUGUCUCUGUACAACAAAAUGACUGUAACAAAGUUUAAAAAUUGAUGAGUAUAGUAACCUGAGCAAUGUUUACUAGCUUCAUAUUGAGAAAAAGAAAAAACAUCAAAACGAUUAAGUGAUUAAAUUGUCAUAGGAAAUCGUAAAUAAAAAAGAUAAAUACUCUGAGUCUGUAUAAUGCUGGAAUGGGGGAAUAGACUCCUAUGCAUCAAGAUUUCAUGAGAUUCUUUACACUAAAAUGAAAUCCAGAUGGAGUAAAGAAUUAACGAUUUUUAAAAACCCACAAAUAUCUCUAGGAAGUUCAAGUGCAUAUUAAUCAAUUCUUUAGAUCAAGAAAAACAGAAUAUUGAAUCAAUGGAAGAUCAACAGAUUUAGGUUCAACUUUAAAAAUUUGAGAUUUCUGGGUGCCUGGGUGGCUCAGUGGGUUAAGCCUCUGCCUUCAGCUCAGGUCAUGAUCUCAGGGUCUGGGAUCAAGGCCCACAUCAGGCUCUCUGCUCAGAGGGGAAUCCUGUCCCCCCCCCCCCUCUGCCUGCCUCUCUGCCUACCUGUGACCUCUCUCUCUCUCUCUCUCUCUCAAAUAAAUGGAUAAAAUCUUUUAAAAAAAAUUUGGGAUUUCCAUUAAAAAAAAAAUGCCACAGUGCAAUAAACAAAGAACAGGGAAAAAUCAUUUUCAGUAAAAUGGAGUGAAUGGGAACUAUGUCUAAUAUUACCUAUAAACUAGUUAUACUACUAUAAACUAGUAACUCUCAAAACAAUUUAAAUAAUACUCCCUCAACCUAUAGAUAAAUGGGCCUAGGACAUAAAUAAAUUCAUUAAAGAGAAAAUUUAACUGCAUAACAAACUAUAUAGAUAAAUGUUCACCUCACCAACAGAGAAGUUUAAACAACAAUAAAAUCCCAUUUUCACCCAUGAAAUUAGCCCUUUCCUUUUCAAAUGGGAAAAUCCAAUGUUCGCAAAGAUGGCAAGAAAUAUAGAUUUUGAUUUAUUGCUAACAUAAUCCCUUGGAUUUGGUAAUAUAUAUUGAGAAUCCCCAAAAUACUCAUACUCCAUUACCAGAGAAUUUAAUUCCUAGGAAUCUAUGAGAAAAGGCUUUAUGCCUUUAAACCUUUGUGCCUCUGAUGCUGCAUUAUUAAUGUUUUUUAAAAUUUCUUUUCAGUGUUCCAGAAUUCAUUGUUUAUGCACCGCACCCAGUGCUCCAUGCACUACAUGCCCUCCAUAAUACCCACCACCAGCCGCAUUAUUAAUGUUACUGACACCUAACUAUCCAACAUUCAAGCUUGAUUAUAGCACAAUGAAAUAUCAUGCAACCAUUAGAAUACCAUUUUGCCCUUCAUUCUCUCAAUAAGCAAACAUUUCACAGUGUUUAAUUUAUGUGCAGUCUUCCUUAGUAUACAGCGCUUACAGAUAUUCAACAUUUGCUUUUUUAAUUAAAAAAAAAAUCCUGGGGGGCGCCUGGGAGGCUCAGUGGGUUAAGCCUCUGCCUUCAGCUCAGGUAAUGAUCUCAGGGUCCUGGGAUAGAGCCCUGCAUCGGGCUCUCUGCUCAGCAGGGAGCCUGCUUUCCUCUCCCCCUCUACCUGCCUCUCUGCCUACUUGUGAUCUCUCUCUCACUCUCUGUCAAAUACAUAAAUAAAAAUCUUUAAAAAAAAUACUUGGAUGGCUAAGUUUUAGGGAUUUAAAAAAAAUCACCUCAUGUUUCUCUAUAUGUUUAAAAAAAAAAAAUGAUCUCAAGUUCUGAAUUUUCUCCAAGAGUCCAUCCUUGACUCAAUACAAAGAUAACUUGCUGCUAUGUUUUCUGAUCUAAAUACUUUACCUGAAGACUAUAAAUACCUCUUAAACUAACUGGUUCAACAGAGACAAAAAGCAUCUAAAAGUUCAGCUCUGCCAAGAAACCACAUUUUGGGGGACUAGAUGGAUAGUUUUUGUCCUCAACCAGAAUAAAGAAUAUGUAAUUGUACUAAGGUCAAAAACUAAAAGAUAACCGAGAAGAUUUUUAGCAAUGUAGGUACUGCAGAUCUCCUUUUUUUCAAUAGCCUUAAGUUUACAAUUCCAGAAACUCUUGGGAAAGUGAAAAAUGCUGUCUACUCUUUAAAACCCUUUUUGCAAUAACCUCCAAUUUUGUCCUAAAUAGGCCAACCCUUUCUCUGUGUUCACAAAAUAUUAACUAACCAGAAGAGUUUACACUGGAAGAGACUGUCUAUCUUAGCACAUUCCAUGAUCUGGAGAUGAAAGUGCAACCUCUUUGCCUGCAUGCCAUGGCAGCACUGGCCACACUUGACACUUCCACCAUAGUGCUUGCUUCCUUAUUCCCACAUAUGUCCAAUCUUGCUACUUCUCAGAAACACUUGACAUUUAUAUUAACAAAUUUACUGCAUAUUAAAUCUGUUUGCUCUACAUGUCACUGUCCAUUUCUCUACAUAUUACUAUCCAUUGUUCAAAAUCCAAUCCUGCACAUUUAUUCCCUCUUAAGAGUGAAGAGGAACUGCAUGGCCACUUUGCAUUCUCUCAGAAAUUAAUCAUGCGAUACCUGAAUUUCACAUCCUCUAGUCCAAGUGUUAGUUUGUAGAUGGCUUUCAUCUUAAAAACAACAAAGACAUGCUCAGUCCAGGAUACGUUGUUAUCAUUGAACAUGCAAGCACCAGUACAGCUCCACUGCCUCAUUCUCAGUCAGCCAAGGUACCGGAACUAAUAGCUCAGAUAUAAGCCUGCACUCUGGCAAAAGAGGAAGGUAAAUAUUCAUAUGGAUAGUAGAUAUGAUUUGGGGGGAGGUUUAUGAUUCAUGAGUUUUAUGAAAACUGAUGAUUUCUCACCUCUUCUUCUAUUAUGUCUAUUAAAAAUUGUAAAAAGAUCAUGGUUUACUAGAAUGUUGUCAAUACCCCAAGGAGAUAAGUGUUAAGAACUGAAAAAAAAAAAACAAAAAACAAAAAAAACCCUCUAAAUCUAAAUACUUUAGUGUUCUCUAGUGGUCUAGAGAACACUCUAGAAGCCAAGAGUAAUAUCUUUGCUUUGACUUACAUACUUAAUGAUGUUUGUGGCUUUUUUUAAAAAAAGAUUUUAUUUAUUUAUUUGACAGACAGAGAUUACAAGUAGGAAGAGAGGCAGGCAGAGAGAGCAAGGAGGAAGCAGGCUCCCUGCUGAGCAGAGAGCCUGAUGCGGUCUCAAUCCUAGGACCCUGGGGUCAUGACCUGAGCCGAAGGCAGAGGCUUUAACCCACUGAGCCACCCAGGCGCCCCGAAGUUUAUGGCUUUUUAACACCCUAGCCAAUAUUAAGUGUUGCUAAAUUUAUAUUUAUCACCACUAAAUCUACAAAGAAAAAUGAAUUCAUUUAGACAAGUUGUAAUUAACUCACAGUUCUCAGCCCAGCCUACUGAAAAGUAAUAUUGGCAAAGGAUGCUCUAUCGCUAGAGAUGGAUUCUGGCAAUUUGAAGAUGGCUAUACUGAAGUGCCAUAAUCCAUCCAAUGGACCCUGGUCAAAUUACUUCACAACUAUUCCCAUUAUGGAAUGAAUAAAGUAGUUUCCACAUUAAAUAGCAGUUUGGAAAAUUUUUCAAAAUUAGUCAAGGGAGUAGUAGAAUCAUGUCUUACUUACAAAUAACAUAACCUAGAAAAGGUAUGGUUCACACUCUCCUUAAGACCUUUUUGAACUUUGUUUUGUUUUGUUUUGUUUUAAAGAUUUUAUUUUAUUUAUUUGACAGAGAGAGAUCACAAGUAGGCAGAGGCAGAGAGAGAGAGGAGGAAGCAGGCUCCCUGCUGAGCAUAGAGCCCAAUGCGGGACUGGAUCCCACGAUCCUGAGAUCAUGACCUGAGCUGAAGGCAGUGGCUUACCCCACUGAGCCACCCAGGCGCCCCCUUUUUGAACUUUUGUAAAUUGAUUUUGACUGCUCAAUUCUCAAGACUAUGAAUAUGUGCUAGUUAUUGUUUUUAAAUUUUUGCAUGUAUAGAAAAACUUCCCUGCCUUAAAUGAUUUCAUGAAUGAUUCAAAUACUUUAUCCUUCCCUAUUGGGAUCUAUCAUAUGAAUUUAUUUGGUCAAUGGAAUGACAUAAAGCAGGUAAUUGCAAAAACCCUUAUAAGAUUCCACUCUAGCUCUUGCCUUUUUGCUGUUUCAUAAGAACACACCCAGGCUAGCCUAAUAAAGGAUGAAAACAUAUGGAGCAGAUAGGAGUUACCCCACAUACCCCAGGUAUAUGGUGGGAUGGCCAUAAGGUCAUUAGAGAGCAGCGAGGUAAGGUCAUUAUAGAGCAGCUGAUAAGGAAAACUGAGAUUCCAUUCCACAGUGGUGAUGUAGGAAGACCCUGACUUCACCUUCUCCAUGGCCACACCAAAUCUAUAAAUAUUAAUAGAAUAGUUCCUUCUGAAGAACCGAAGGAUGACUGAACAGCUUCUGCAUAACAAAAGAUAAAGAAGCUACAUAGAGAACUGCAAGAGAGAGGGAGGCACAGCAAUGAAGGGAAGUCCCACCUCUGACACUGCGAAUCAUAGUGUGGAGGGACAAUACUGAGGGUUCAGUUAGAGAUUCAUCUGUCUUGGGGCAAGAAAAUAAGCCAUGGUUGAAAAGGACAAGUAGGAUAAAAAAAAAUUGUAGCCCUAGAACUCCACCAAAUGCUAGGGAAGCUCCUAGAACUCUCUCGAGAUUGGACAGGUUGUUGAGUGUCACAGUUCCUACUCCCCUUAUACCUAGAUAGUGUAGAUAGAAGCAUGGUUUACACAUCCAAGCUUGUACAGAGCCCCAGUGAGCCCUGGGCCCCUAGCCCACAUGAGCCCCAGCCAUUCUAUCAAAAUGGCCCCAGUAUGAAACACACUGGGACACUCCUGCUAGGUAGCCACUACACCUCCAGCCACUGUAUCAAAGUCAUAUGCAUGCAAAGCACCCUGAAACAUUGCAGGCCCCCACCACAUUGGCUUCAGAUGGCUUGCUAGGGCACUUACUGCAGAGAGUGUGCUGGGACCUCCUGGUUCACAGUUGCUUUGGCUCCAGCUAACUUGCCAGGGAGCCCUUUGCAGUAAGCACCUUGGGACACACUGACCUGCACCCACCUCAGCUUCAGUAGUUCUGCCAGGGAGUAGUUGUAUGUGGAGAACCUGAGGCACCCUCACUGAUACCUACUUCAACAGCUGUCCUGCUGGGGUGCUGCUUGUGCAGGGUGCACCAGGACCUCCCUAAGCUUGUGCUCCACCUCAGCAGUAUCUGCAUGGAGAGCUAUGGGACACCUAGCUUUUACCCAUUUCAACUAUUUUGUAAGGGUUCUCUCAGUGUGUAGAGCCCUAGGACCCUCUGCUUACAGCCACUUCACCUUCAGCUGUGCUACCAGGGUGCUCUCUCUAUGUAGACAGCUCCAGGAAUGAGCUGGUGGCCAUCUCACCAGGAUGCAGCCCCCGCAUGGAGUGCCCCAGUACCCACAGAUCACACAAGCCACAAUUCUAGCCAGCCCCUCAAAGUUACUAGGAACACACAGUGUACACAAGGGACGACCAUACACAAGACCAUUCCUUCAAGUUUCAGAUAAGUAGCUGUUCUAAUCAUAGUAACAAAUGCAGAAAAUCAAGUAAAAUUGGAGGCAGAGGAAUAUGCUUCAAAUAAUUGAACAAAACAAAACCUCAGAAAAAGACUAAAUGAAACAGAGAUAAUCAAUAUGCCUGAUAAAAAGUUUACAGUUAUGGUCAUAAAGGUGUUCACUGGUCUAGAGAAAAAAGUGAAAGACCUCAGGGAUAACUUCCACAAAGAGAUAGAAAACAAAAAGGAACAAUUCAGAGUUGAAGAAUGUAAUAACGGAAAUGAAAAACUACUAGAUGGCGUCAAUAGUAAGUUAGCAAAUGCAGAACACAUAAGUGAUCUAGAAGAUAGCUAAAUAGCAAAAAGAAAAAAAGAAUUUUUAAAAAAUGAGCAUAGGUUAAGGGAUCUCUCAGACAACAUCAAAUAAGUAAGCAUUUGCAUAUUUGGGGCCUCCGAAGGAGAAGAGAAAGGAGUAGAAAAUAUAUUUGAAGAAAUAAUAGCUGAAAACAUCCCUAACCUGGGGAAGGAAGUAACAGCCAGGUUCAGGAACCAUAGAAUUCCAAGCAAGAUGAACCCAAGGAGGGCCACACCAUAACACAGAAUAAUUAGAAUGUCAAAUGUUAAUGAUAAAGAGAAUUUUAAAGGCAGUCAGAGCGAAGCAAAAAGUUACAUAAAAGGGAAACCCCAUAAGGCUAUCAAAAAAGAAAAGGAAAGUCAAGAAUAACACUAGAGAAAUUUAUAAUCUUAAGUAAAGAGAAGAAGUAACAGAGAAGAACCACAAAAACAACCAGAAAACAAUCAAAAUGACAGUAAGUACAACACUGAAAAUAAUUACUUAAAUAUAAGUGCUCUAAACACCCCAAUGAAAAGGCAUAUGGUGGACCAAUGGAUAAAAAAACAAAACACAUCUACACGUUGCCUACAAGACACUCAUUUGAGAUACAAGGACACACUCAGUCUGAAAGUGAAUGCAUCGAAAAGAUAUUUCAUGCAGAAGGAAGUGGGAAAAAAAACCCAAGGUGACAAUAUUUAUAUCACAAAAAUCCGACCUUUAAGACUUACAAGAGAAUAAGUAGGGCACUGAAUAAUGAUAAAGAAUCAAUUGAACAAGAUGACCGAACAAUCAUAAAUAUCUAUGUACCCAACAAUGGCGCACCUAAAUACUUAAAGCACAUAUUAAUACCUGUAAAGGAAGAAAGAGUAAUACAAUAAUAGUAGGGGAAUUUAACACAGCAUUUUUUAAAUAGAUAUAUCAUACAGGCAGAAUAUCAAUAAGGAAAGUGUUUCUUUGAACAAUACAGUAGGUCAGAUGGACCUAACAGAUAAAUACAGUACAUGCCACAUAAAAACAAAAGAAUACAAAUUCUUUCUAUAUGCACACAGAAUGUUUUCCAGGAUAGAUCACACGGUAGGCCAAAAAACAAGUCUCAAUACAUUUAAAAAGAUUGAAUCAUAUCAUGUAUAUUUUAUAAUCACAAUGGGGUGAAAUAGAAACCAAUUACAGAAAAAAAAAAUGGAAAACCAAACAGGUGGAGAUUAAACAACAUGCUACCAAGCAAUAAAUGAGUCAACAAAGAAAA